rnacentral:lncRNA from 1 species
GUUGAGAUCUGUUGAUUUUGUUGUAUUUUGGCCGCAAAAAAUCCCAAAAGAGUCGCCUGAAUCCCCUUACGAUUUGCUGUAAUUCGACUGCCUGAAGAACUUCUGGUUUGCGAUUUGAGAUGUCUGGUAUGGAAUUUGAUAGAGGGGCGAGCGGCGAUCGCCGUCGCCGUCGCCGUCGCCGUCGGCCGGAAAAUAGAGAAGAAGGCAA